GUGGCCACACCCAUGGUAUACGGAAGUUCUUGGGCCAGGGAGCGAAUCUGAACUGAAGCUGUGGCCUAGCAACCCCAGAUCCCUAAUCCAUUGCACCAUGGCAGGAACUCCAAGAAAACGAAUUUUUGUUAUUUGAGGCUGUCUUGUUGUGGCACUUUGUUACAGAAGCCCUGAGAAACUAAUACAGGCGGUUUGUAUCUGGGCGAGCUGGCGUGUGUGUACAAAUACCUUUUCAGUGACCAGUUCAUGCUUCUUUUAUGUGCCAAUAUAAAGUUUGACUGCAUUUUAAAAAUUAAAGUAUAGUUGAUUUACAGUGUUGUGCUAAUUUCUGCUGUAAGUUUGAUGGCCUUUUUAAGUGGUGGAAAUAGCUGGGAUGCAUGGGGUUCCAGGCAUCUGACCAAUGUGGACACAGCGCACGUCCUGUUCUAGGGUAGCAUCUAUGCCCCUUCCAGUGGGAAAGUUGCUAAUGUCCCAUCAGAAGCCAGUGAUGUUGCUCUGGGUUCACAGCUAUGAAGUCUUAUUAAUUUUUAUCUAAAGGACAGCUCUAACCACUAGAAGGAGCUUUAUUUAUUUUUUAUGUAUGUAUUUAUUUUUGUCUUUUCUAGGGCAGCACCCGCAGCAUAUGGAGGUUCCCAGGCUAGGGGUCGAAUCAGAACUACAGCUGCCGGCCUACACCACAGCCACAGCAACGCCACUAAGAGCUGGUGAUUAGAGAACUGCUUUUAAAGCAUAUCAUGUUAGUCCCUGUUUUGCCAGAUGAAAAGGGUUCUGGAGCUAGGCUGCCCAACAAUGCGAAUAUACUUUGCAGCGCUGAACUGUACUCUUAAAAUGGUUAAGAGGGUGAAUUUUAUGUUAUAUGUAUUUCACCAGAAUUUUAGGCAUCACGGUAACUAUAACAUUCUCAUCGAGUACACAGGAGGCUGGGAAGUUACUUAUUUAGUGACUUGUUUGCUGUUUUGGUAGGGGGAGGAGGGGAAGGGGGAUUGGACAUUUAUUGAAAACAAGACAUGCCUUAACAGAGAUAUUUUGGUUUUGUUAGUGAUUUGCAGGGUCAGGUCAAUGAAAUUUAAAAAUUGUACAUGAGCAAAAGCAUCCUCUGUAGAGAAUCAAAAGGAAGAGUAUCUGUACCUUUACUCAUUUCCUAUUUUCAAAGAUGUAAACCUCAUUCUGAUUAGGAGAUAAGAUGGCACAAGGCAAGAACAAUUGUAUGGUUCAGAGCAGAUUCCUGGAUCAUUCAGAAAUUCUUAAAAGUUCCCUGUUACUGCUGGAGAUUACUUUAUGUCAAUGCAUGGGAGAGGUCAUUAAUUGUUUUAUUUGCUACUGCUAUUUUAUUUACUGCCAAGAGAAAAACCUUUCCAGUUAAAUCAUGAUAUGCCAAAAAAUGUAAAGAAGUAUCCCAAAUUCAAAGAUAAUGUAUGCAAAAAAAGUUGAUGUUAGAACUGAAGGUGUAUGGUAUAAAGAAGAUAAACCCGUCAUACUUAAUUAAUAAAGAAAGUUAGCCAGGAAGAAACAUACAAAUAAACAAGUUUCCCUUGGGGACCUAAGAUAUAAGUACACAUUUCAAAUAUUACAAGGAGCCAAAGCAAGAGAUUAAAGAUAAAGUAAUGAAAUGACUGACCCUAUUAGAAUAUGAAAUAUUCUAGCCCUUACUAAUCCAUAGACUAAUUUGCAUUUGAGAGAUGUUUUAAUAGAAAUGAUGAUUCAAAGACAGGUCUUGUCAGGCUAAUUUGGAAAUUGAUGUUGCACAUAUAUUUUUUCCUUAGUAGCCCAUUAAUUCUUCAAAUAAUUUCAGAUAUACUUGCACUGCAUUUCAAGAAAGACACAGAACAGAGAAUAAAUUAGAGAAGUAGAACAAAUGAAAAAAGUAUGGUAGAACUGAAGUAUCAUUUAAAAAUGAGUAGAGAAAAUAAAGGUGAUUGAAAAAACUUAAGCAGUUAAAUUAAACCAUGAACAUUAAACAGUUUUUUGAAGAAUUAGGAUUGAUACAUAAAUUUCUGAGUUAAUCUCAAGUUUAUAAGAAAAUUAAAUUAAAUUCUCCAUCCCCACCUCUGAGCAUUAUGGUUACUCAAAACUUCAGUGAAAAGAAACAAUACACUAUUAGGCUCAUUACAGGCUGGAAGAACCAGAUACAACUCUUUCAGGACUUGAAUUUUUUUUUUUUAAUUCUUUACAUUAACAGGGUGGCGGUGGCUCCUUAUUAAUUUGAUUCAACCUAAUAAAUGAAAGGAAAGGUCUUCUGAACCUCUAUUAUGCUUGAAGCUUUUCACGUCAAGCUAGAGAUCUUUUUUUUUAAGUCUAUAAUAAUCCUUUUGAAUAGUCAUAAGAGAUCCAAACAACCUUCAAAGCCCAUAUCCAUCUGCCAGUUUUAUAAUCAAUUGUACUGCGGCAUUUAGCAUAUACAGCCCCUAUUCAUAGGAGUUAUUCACUCCUGAAGAAACAGGAUAGGUAAUAACUUUAAUACUCCUUUGCCUGGUUGUCUCCUCUUUAGAUUGCAAUAUGAAUAAUUCAACUCCUUUCAUCAAAAGCGAACACUUACUCUAUGUAUGUAAAUGUCAGUUUUCUGGGGAAUGGAAAGAAUAAAGGUAACAUAUAGUCCUGUCCUUGAUGGACUUUGGCUUUAUUACAUGGGGGGAGGAGGGAUGACAACUAUAUGCAACGACUACAAUGCAAAGCAGAAAACUGUGAGGGCAGCUAUCCAGCUACAUGGUGUGGGUCAGAGCUUGCUCUGAUUGGUCAAUGGCGAUGCAGUUCUGUUUUAAAAUACUCCGAUUACAUCUGAAUAACCUUCAGCAAAUGAGGCAAGCUGCCCAUCCAAUAUUCCUUCUCCCUUUCUUCCUUAUCAACACAACCCUCAUUCUAAGUACAGUGCAUUAGUGUGCCCAAGCAAAGGAAAGAGCAUUUCCCAUACUUCCUUGCACCUGGGGGUGGCCCCGUGACACCGGUCUGACCAAUGAGAUUUAAGCAAAUACCACUAGGGCAAGCUUUUUCAAAGAAAGCCGAUUCAGCCAGCCCUUGACUUGCCCUUUUUGAAGUCCCUUCUUGCCCGGAGUCCAGACUCGAAGCUACAGAAGGAGCAGCUGUCUUGAAACCAUGGAUGGCUAACAAGAAAGUCUGAAGGAGCUUGGGUCCCUGAUGCCCUCUUUUGACUACUACGUCGACCACAGGCUGCCUACCUCUGGACCCCUUAAUAACUGGGAAAUAAAAGUCCUAAUGUGCUUUAGUUCCUGGUCAGUCAGGUUUGGUGUGAUAAAAUUCUAACACAGUACACCAUCCUAAGGUUUGAAAUUAGGAUAUUCCACAUGAUGCCACAGAG
rnacentral:lncRNA from 1 species